ensembl:misc_RNA Y_RNA Y RNA
GGCUGGUCCCAAUGCAGCGGUGUUUACAAUUAAUUGAUCACAACCAGUUAUAGAAUCCUUUGUUUCUUCUCCAUUCCCACUGCUUCACUGGACUAGCCUUAA